GUGGGGAAUCUUGCGCAAUGGGCGAAAGCCUGACGCAGCCAUGCCGCGUGGAUGAUGAAGGUCUUAGGAUUGUAAAAUCCUUUCACCGGUGAAGAUAAUGACUGUAGCCGGAGAAGAAGCCCCGGCUAACUUCGUGCCAGCAGCCGCGGUAAUACGAAGGGGGCUAGCGUUGCUCGGAUUUACUGGGCGUAAAGGGCGCGUAGGCGGACAUUUAAGUCAGGGGUGAAAUCCCGGGGCUCAACCUCGGAACUGCCUUUGAUACUGGGUGUCUUGAGUAUGAGAGAGGUGUGUGGAACUCCGAGUGUAGAGGUGAAAUUCGUAGAUAUUCGGAGGAACACCAGUGGCGAAGGCGGCUCACUGGCUCGAUACUGACGCUGAGGUGCGAAAGCGUGGGGAGCAAACAGGAUUAGAAACCCCUGUAGUCC
rnacentral:rRNA from 1 species